UUAAGCGACUAAGCGUACACGGUGGAUGCCCUGGCAGUCAGAGGCGAUGAAGGACGUGCUAAUCUGCGAAAAGCGUCGGUAAGGUGAUAUGAACCGUUAUAACCGGCGAUGUCCGAAUGGGGAAACCCAGUGCAAUUCGUUGCACUAUCGUUAACUGAAUACAUAGGUUAACGAGGCGAACCGGGGGAACUGAAACAUCUAAGUACCCCGAGGAAAAGAAAUCAACCGAGAUUCCCCCAGUAGCGGCGAGCGAACGGGGAGCAGCCCAGAGUCUGAAUCAGCUUGUGUGUUAGUGGAACGGUCUGGAAAGUCCGACGGUACAGGGUGAUAGUCCCGUACACCAAAAUGCACAGGCUGUGAACUCGAAGAGUAGGGCGGGACACGUGGUAUCCUGUCUGAAUAUGGGGGACCAUCCUCCAAGGCUAAAUACUCCUGACUGACCGAUAGUGAACCAGUACCGUGAGGGAAAGGCGAAAAGAACCCCGGCGAGGGGAGUGAAAAAGAACCUGAAACCGUGUACGUACAAGCAGUGGGAGCACCUUCGGGUGUGACUGCGUACCUUUUGUAUAAUGGGUCAGCGACUUAUAUUCUGUAGCAAGGUUAACCGUAUAGGGGAGCCGCAGGGAAACCGAGUCUUAACUGGGCGUUAAGUUGCAGGGUAUAGACCCGAAACCCGGUGAUCUAGCCAUGGGCAGGUUGAAGGUUGGGUAACACUAACUGGAGGACCGAACCGACUAAUGUUGAAAAAUUAGCGGAUGACUUGUGGCUGGGGUGAAAGGCCAAUCAAACCGGGAGAUAGCUGGUUCUCCCCGAAAGCUAUUUAGGUAGCGCCUCGUGAACUCAUCUUCGGGGUAGAGCACUGUUUCGGCUAGGGGGUCAUCCCGACUUACCAACCCGAUGCAAACUACGAAUACCGAAGAAUGUUAUCACGGGAGACACACGGCGGGUGCUAACGUCCGUCGUGAAGAGGGAAACAACCCAGACCGCCAGCUAAGGUCCCAAAGUCAUGGUUAAGUGGGAAACGAUGUGGGAAGGCACAGACAGCCAGGAUGUUGGCUUAGAAGCAGCCAUCAUUUAAAGAAAGCGUAAUAGCUCACUGGUCGAGUCGGCCUGCGCGGAAGAUGUAACGGGGCUAAACCAUGCACCGAAGCUGCGGCAGCGACACUAUGUGUUGUUGGGUAGGGGAGCGUUCUGUAAGCCUGCGAAGGUGUGCUGUGAGGCAUGCUGGAGGUAUCAGAAGUGCGAAUGCUGACAUAAGUAACGAUAAAGCGGGUGAAAAGCCCGCUCGCCGGAAGACCAAGGGUUCCUGUCCAACGUUAAUCGGGGCAGGGUGAGUCGACCCCUAAGGCGAGGCCGAAAGGCGUAGUCGAUGGGAAACAGGUUAAUAUUCCUGUACUUGGUGUUACUGCGAAGGGGGGACGGAGAAGGCUAUGUUAGCCGGGCGACGGUUGUCCCGGUUUAAGCAUGUAGGCUGGUUGUCCAGGCAAAUCCGGAUAAUCAAGGCUGAGGUGUGAUGACGAGGCACUACGGUGCUGAAGUAACAAAUGCCCUGCUUCCAGGAAAAGCCUCUAAGCAUCAGGUAACAUUAAAUCGUACCCCAAACCGACACAGGUGGUCAGGUAGAGAAUACCAAGGCGCUUGAGAGAACUCGGGUGAAGGAACUAGGCAAAAUGGUGCCGUAACUUCGGGAGAAGGCACGCUGGUGUGUAGGUGAAGUCCCUGCGGAUGGAGCUGAGACCAGUCGAAGAUACCAGCUGGCUGCAACUGUUUAUUAAAAACACAGCACUGUGCAAACACGAAAGUGGACGUAUACGGUGUGACGCCUGCCCGGUGCCGGAAGGUUAAUUGAUGGGGUUAUCCGUAAGGAGAAGCUCUUGAUCGAAGCCCCGGUAAACGGCGGCCGUAACUAUAACGGUCCUAAGGUAGCGAAAUUCCUUGUCGGGUAAGUUCCGACCUGCACGAAUGGCGUAAUGAUGGCCAGGCUGUCUCCACCCGAGACUCAGUGAAAUUGAACUCGCUGUGAAGAUGCAGUGUACCCGCGGCAAGACGGAAAGACCCCGUGAACCUUUACUAUAGCUUGACACUGAACAUUGAGCCUUGAUGUGUAGGAUAGGUGGGAGGCUUUGAAGCGUGGACGCCAGUCUGCGUGGAGCCAACCUUGAAAUACCACCCUUUAAUGUUUGAUGUUCUAACGUUGGCCCCUUACCGGGGUUGCGGACAGUGUCUGGUGGGUAGUUUGACUGGGGCGGUCUCCUCCCAAAGCGUAACGGAGGAGCACGAAGGUUAGCUAAUCCUGGUCGGACAUCAGGAGGUUAGUGCAAUGGCAUAAGCUAGCUUGACUGCGAGCGUGACGGCGCGAGCAGGUGCGAAAGCAGGUCAUAGUGAUCCGGUGGUUCUGAAUGGAAGGGCCAUCGCUCAACGGAUAAAAGGUACUCCGGGGAUAACAGGCUGAUACCGCCCAAGAGUUCAUAUCGACGGCGGUGUUUGGCACCUCGAUGUCGGCUCAUCACAUCCUGGGGCUGAAGUAGGUCCCAAGGGUAUGGCUGUUCGCCAUUUAAAGUGGUACGCGAGCUGGGUUUAGAACGUCGUGAGACAGUUCGGUCCCUAUCUGCCGUGGGCGCUGGAGAAUUGAGGGGGGCUGCUCCUAGUACGAGAGGACCGGAGUGGACGCAUCACUGGUGUUCGGGUUGUCAUGCCAAUGGCACUGCCCGGUAGCUAAAUGCGGAAGAGAUAAGUGCUGAAAGCAUCUAAGCACGAAACUUGCCCCGAGAUGAGUUCUCCCUGAGACUUUAAGUCUCCUGAAGGAACGUUAAAGACGAUGACGUUGAUAGGCCGGGUGUGUAAGCGCAGCGAUGCGUUGAGCUAACCGGUACUAAUGAACCGUGAGGCUUAACCUU
rnacentral:rRNA from 1 species